rnacentral:rRNA from 1 species
CGCGGCCUAUCAGCUUGUUGGUGAGGUAACGGCUCACCAAGGCAUCGACGGGUAGCUGGUCUGAGAGGACGAUCAGCCACACUGGGACUGAGACACGGCCCAGACUCCUACGGGAGGCAGCAGUAGGGAAUCUUGCGCAAUGGGCGAAAGCCUGACGCAGCAACGCCGCGUGGGGGAUGAAUGCCUUCGGGUUGUAAACCCCUUUCAGCAGGGACGAAAAUGACGGUACCUGCAGAAGAAGCUCCGGCCAACUACGUGCCAGCAGCCGCGGUAAUACGUAGGGAGCGAGCGUUGUCCGGAAUUAUUGGGCGUAAAGAGCUCGUAGGCGGUUCAGUAAGUCGGGUGUGAAAACUCAAGGCUCAACCUUGAGACGCCACUCGAUACUGCUGUGACUUGAGUCCGGUAGAGGAGUGUGGAAUUCCUGGUGUAGCGGUGAAAUGCGCAGAUAUCAGGAGGAACACCAGCGGCGGAGGCGGCACUCUGGGCCGGUACUGACGCUGAGGAGCGAAAGCAUGGGGAGCAAACAGGAUUAGAUACCCUGGUAGUCCAUGCCGUAAACGUUGGGCACUAGGUAUGGGAUCAUAUCAACGGAUUCCGUGCCGUAGCUAACGCAUUAAGUGCCCCGCCUGGGGAGUACGG